rnacentral:rRNA from 1 species
GCUGGUCUGAGAGGACGACCAGCCACACUGGGACUGAGACACGGCCCAGACUCUACGGGAGGCAGCAGUGGGGAAUUUUGGACAAUGGGCGAAAGCCUGAUCCAGCCAUGCCGCGUGCAGGAUGAAGGCCUUCCGCCCUGUAAACUGCUUUUGUACGGAACGAAAAGACUCUGGUUAAUACCUGGGGUCCAUGACGGUACCGUAAGAAUAAGCACCGGCUAACUACGUGCCAGCAGCCGCGGUAAUACGUAGGGUGCAAGCGUUAAUCGGAAUUACUGGGCGUAAAGCGUGCGCAGGCGGUUAUAUAAGACAGAUGUGAAAUCCCCGGGCUCAACCUGGGAACUGCAUUUGUGACUGUAUAGCUAGAGUACGGCAGAGGGGGAUGGAAUUCCGCGUGUAGCAGUGAAAUGCGUAGAUAUGCGGAGGNAACACCGAUGGCGAAGGCAAUCCCCUGGGCCUGUACUGACGCUCAUGCACGAAAGCGUGGUGAGCAAACAGGAUUAGAUACCCUGGUAGUCCACGCCCUAAACGAUGUCAACUGGUUGUUGGGUCUUCACUGACUCAGUAACGAAGCUAACGCGUGAAGUUGACCGCCUGGGGAGUACGGCCGCAAGGUNUGAANNACUCAAAGGAAUUGACGGGGACCCGCACAAGCGGUGGAUGAUGUGGUUUAAUUCGAUGCAACGCGAAAAACCUUACCCACCUUUGACAUGUACGGAAUCCUUUAGAGAUAGAGGAGUGCUCGAAAGAGAGCCGUAACACAGGUGCUGCAUGGCUGUCGUCAGCUCGUGUCGUGAGAUGUU